GAUGAACGCUGGCGGCGUGCCUAAUACAUGCAAGUCGAGCGAACAGACGAGGAGCUUGCUCCUCUGACGUUAGCGGCGGACGGGUGAGUAACACGUGGAUAACCUACCUAUAAGACUGGGAUAACUUCGGGAAACCGGAGCUAAUACCGGAUAAUAUAUUGAACCGCAUGGUUCAAUAGUGAAAUACGGUUUUGCUGUCACUUAUAGAUGGAUCCGCGCCGCAUUAGCUAGUUGGUAAGGUAACGGCUUACCAAGGCAACGAUGCGUAGCCGACCUGAGAGGGUGAACGGCCACACUGGAACGGAGACACGGUCCAGACUCCUACGGGAGGCAGCAGUGGGGAAUCUUCCGCAAUGGGCGAAAGCCUGACGGAGCAACGCCGCGUGUGUGAUGAAGGUCUUCGGAUCGUAAAACUCUGUUUUUAGGGAAGAACAAAUGUGUAAGUAACUAUGCACGUCUUGACGGUACCUAAUCAGAAAGCCCCGGCUAACUACGUG
rnacentral:rRNA from 1 species